GACGAACGCUGGCGGCGUGCUUAACACAUGCAAGUCGAACGGAAAGACCCUGCGCUUGUUGGGCUCACGAUUGGCGAACGGGGGAGUAACACGCGAGUAACCCGCCCUUGAAUGUGUGGGAAAUUUAGGGAAAUGGGGCUAAUACCCGAGAGGAGCUCCUGAAGCAUGGGGGGGGUUGGAAAGUUUCGGCCGUUGUGGAUGGACGCGCGGCUUAUCAGCUGGUUGGUGGGGUAGUGGCUGUCGAGGGGUUUGACGGGUAGCCCGCCUGAGAACGUGACCGGCCACAUUAGGACUGAGGUACGGCCCAGACUCCUACGGGACGCAGCAGUCGGGAAUAUUGCACAAUGGGCGGAAGCCUGAUACAGCAACGCCGCGUGCGGGAUGCCGGCCUUCGAGUGAUGAACCGCUUUCGCCGUAGACGAAGCCUGAGUGACGGUAAUGGGUCAAAAAGCACCGGCUAACUACGUG
rnacentral:rRNA from 1 species